UGCAGCUGUUCUUCCUGAAAAUCCCUUCGCUCGUGCUAUGCAACGGAGACAUAAGUUUGCCUUUAAGAUUACAGCGUCCCUGCAUGCACAACACUAAGCAAACGGAUUAAACGCACCGGCGGGAGGAAAAGAAAAGUAAAAAAAACAAAAACGUAAAGAAAAUAAAGCAAGAAAAAAAAGUGACACAACUAAACGCCUAAAACCUUCCCCGGCAACGGCGCCAAAAUUUGACUCAACCUAAACACCUCUAGAUUGACUUGCAAUAGGAUAAGGACACUCUAGCAGUGGUAAGCUAACCCAAUGUCAUCUCUCAAGGAAGAUCUUAAAGGGCAAUUAAUUAUAUAACACGAAAAC
rnacentral:lncRNA from 1 species